rnacentral:rRNA from 1 species
UACGUAGGGUGCAAGCGUUAUCCGGAUUUACUGGGCGUAAAGGGUUGCGUAGGCGGUUUGAUAAGUCAAAACUCAAAUCUUCAUGCUUAACAUGAAACCGGGUUUUGAUACUAUUAAACUUUUGAGUUUUGGAGAGGUUGCCGGAACUUGCAGUGGAGCGGUGAAAUGCGUUGAUAUUGCAAGGAACACCGAUGGCGUAGGCAGGCAACUGGCCAAUUACUGACGCUGAUGCACGAAAGCUAGGGGAGCGAAAGGG